AAUUAUGGGAGCUGCAGUGUGAGAUUCGGGUGGGAACACAGAGCCAAACCAUAUCGUGAGCUAAUUUUAAAACCUGAUGCUUGAGGAAAGCACAGUGACACAGAAGGAAAUAUAGAAGGCCCCAAAGUAGAAAUCUUGGAUUUUUAGACCCAGUGUUCACCUAACUGCUUAAAGUGUGACCUCAGGUGAGACUUGAGAAUCUGGUGGAAAGGGUGAAAAGGCCAUAAGAUCAGCAAUCACCACUUCUCAUGAAAAAAGAUCAUCAUUAACAAUACAAGCAAGUUAUGUCAACAUAAUUGACAUGAACUUUACAUGAAAACAAAGUUGUUUUGGGAUCUAGCAUUAUAGAUACCUAGCUUCUCUUCUUGUUAAAGAUUUGAAUGCUUGAUCAUUUGAUGUUACUAAUUUUUUAAUAUAUUUUUAUUUUCAGUUUUGCUUUUAUGAAACAAGGCAAUCAAUGAUAUUCAUUCCUUCUCUACCUUUCUCUUUCUUUUUUAUAUAAAAGAAUUUAAACAAACAAGAAUAUUAGAAAAAUAGAACUGUAGAAGUUAAAUUGGAAUUAACUUGAGAGAUAAUUUUGUCCAACAUCCUCAUUUUGUGUAAGAGAAAAAAAAAAACAGGAGUAGUGAUUUGAACAUACUUCAGCUAUUUCCCCAGAAUCAUAUCUGCAGCUCUAAUUACUAUCAGUGGAGACUGAGUUUUAAUUAUAAGCCAAAUGACAGUGAUCAAGAAGGCCUUAGUGUUUCUCAGUUGGAUCGAACUUUAAACAGGCUUCUUUCUGCCUCUAAGCCCCUGACCCUUGUGUGUGUGUGUGUUUUUUUUUUUUCUUUUUUAAAGAGCAUUUACUUUAGAAAUCUUGUCAUUGUAAAUUCGUUCCUCUAUUCCUUUGAGGUGUAAAUCAUUUUAAAAGCUUCUUGCUAGUUUUACAACCCAAGAAAGUCUUUCUCAAAGACCUGGGAGGCAUUCCUUUGACAUGUAAUGUUAAGGAAGACAGUGCCCCUAUCUUCCAGUUUCUGUGGGAAAAUCGGGGCCUAACUUCUGCAGGGAACUGCCUCCAAAACUACCUCUGCCAAAAAGGGAAAGUUUACUCUUCUUUUGGGUAAAGGCAGUAAGCAAACACCACAAAUGGUCUAUAACUCACCCUCCAACCUCAGCUUUUCAAAACUCCUAGCCCUUUGUUUUUGUUUCUUUGGUUACUGAUACAUAAUAAUUGUAUGUAUUUAUGGAGUUCAUGUGAUAUUUUGAUACCUGCAUACAAAGUGUGAUAAAUCAGAAUUUUUAGGAUAUUUAUCACCUCAAAUAUGUAUCUUUCUGUGUGUUGGGAACAUUUCAAAUAUUUUCUUCUAGUUCGAAAUACAGAAUAAAUUACUGUUAACUACAGUAACACUGCUGUGCUAUUCAACACUAGAACUUAUUUCUUCCAUGGGAAGGGAGGGGUUAAGAGAGGUUGGUUAAUGGUCUCAGCCCUUUGUUUAAGCAGAGUUUAAUUCAGACUGAGUUCUGCCUCUAUCCACUGUUUCAAUAAUAAUUCAAUGACCUUGAAUAAGGUCAUUUUGCCUAA